UCUGAUAAUCCCUUACUAUAAUUCCCUAAUUAUUUCUCUCCGCGUUUGCUAAAAAUUUUUUCUCGAACCCUAAUCCCUCUCCGCUGUCUUCAUUUCUUCCAAACCAGAAGCUUCGUUUCUUUGCUGGCUUCAUUUUCUCCCAAAUCACAAUCUUCAUCUCGCUGCACCACAAGCUUCAUUGUUGGUUGAGCUUGGCUUCGUGUUACUCUUCCUCUUCCUGGGCUGAGUGAGAGUCAGGCUUUACAGAAUCUGAAGGAAGCUGUCAAACAAACGAGACAGCUGCAACAGGAAUUGUCUGAUUCAGUUUUAUUUGAUUCAUUGAGGAGACUUCAGCUGAUGGAACUCGGUGAUUUGUUUUCUACGUUAGAAGCUUUCAUUGGGCAUCUACAUGUAGUGCGUGGGAGUGAUUCUUCAGUUGACUGGACCUAUUCAAUCCCUCUGCUAUUUGAGAAGGUGCCAGAAAUAAAUCAGGAAGAAUCUCAAUGGACAGACUGUGAAACAAGAAAUGCUAUCAAUUCAAUUUAUCAAAAUUUAGACAAGCUGGACGCAUACAUUUCUCUUCUUCUGACAAAAAAGGGAUUCCUUGAUGAAGGUUGAAAUUGUGUACCUUGGGAGACAUGAAGGCCUUAUCGUCUGAGAAUUCGAAAAACAAGAGUUGUUUCAUGAAGACUUUUUUGUAGUUUGUUGUUUGAAGUUUUCAAUUGAAACAAGUCUGAGAAGAGCUUUGUUUAUCCAAUCCUGGAACCUGAAGAACAGUCCCAAGCGUUCAAUAUCAUUAAUCAGUUCAAAGGGAGAAGGAAAAUUUACAAGACUUAAAGAGUGCUUUUGUAUUUAAUGUUCUUGAAAGAGAGUUUCUAGCCAACAGCAAGACUCAUAAAAGAAUUUGACCAGUUGAAAAUCCCUCUUAAUCCCGGCGGUUUUUAAUACUAAU